rnacentral:lncRNA from 1 species
UUCUAACUGGGAAUGCUUAUUCUUUUGUCAACAUUACACUUGAGCUUGCAACCCACAAGCACAAGUUCAACCAUGGGAUUUCAAAUCAACCAAACUAUUCCAACCAUUCUUGCUAAGGUCAUUGUUUGAUGAGGAAUCCUCCAAGAUGGUCACUGUUGCCGUUGAGCUCUUCAAGUAUGGCAGAAUCAAAGGGUUAGCUUGGUUUGCUUAUUCCAAAUCCAACUUCUAUUCAGAGCUUCAACACACUGCACACUGGAACCACUCAACCCAAGCACCAAAACGACCACACAAUAACUCUCAACGGGCGUUUGCUUUGCACAAAGCUAAGAACUGAUCAAGCCACUGAUUCAGCAAUACUAAUAGGUACCACCCUCAAGCAAUGGCAACUGCAUCAACUAUCUACUAGUAGCAGAUUGCAUUAUUCUCUUCAAUCAAGGCCGUCUAAACUAAAAUCGCAGAACAUUUACAGCCCCGCCCAAAAGAUAAGUAAAUGAAGAAGAAAAUGUGAGAUGGAAUCAGUAGAUAAAAACAGGAUUAAAAAACCUGUCAUCUGUGGAUCCAUCACUACGGUUGUCUGGCCGCUGCCUGAUCACUAGCUUACUUCCAGAAAACAGAAUAAUCUGUUACUAGAAAACCAACUAGUGGCCAGGCUUUCAAUGUUGCACCGUUGUUCAAGCGAGAAAUCAGAAUCAAAAUCCGUUUUCUCGCAACAAACACAACAAAUGCUAAGCAAGUAACAAGAGAAAAUCACGGGGCUCAUAUCAAGUGUAAAGUUAUUCUUGUUUGAAUUUAUGACUGGUGAUGUGCAAGUGUUUCAAGUGUUUUCUUUCAGAGUUCUAACCAAAUUUGACCACAGGCCAUUGCCCACUGACAUCUACUCAAUUCACUUGCACUUACAGGUAUUUUAAGAAGAUUACAAUUGUAAUAAUUUUCUCAUUUUCAAGAAAUGAGUUCAUCACUAGCUACAAAGCCAGAAGGUGUGUGACGGUAACUCAUGUUCAGAGGUGAGGCUGUGAGGGUGGGGCUCGUUGUUCUUCUAAUCUGAUUACGAGGUUUCUCUCUUGUUCUGAUGAGUCCAUGAAGGUUUCAGUUCAAAUUACUAGCAAAAAAUGCAAAGAAAUCGCAUCAAGAAUGCGUAGGUUGCUUUAUAUUCUAACUGGGAAUGCUUAUUCUUUUGUCAACAUUACACUUGAGCUUGCAACCCACAAGCACAAGUUCAACCAUGGGAUUUCAAAUCAACCAAACUAUUCCAACCAUUCUUGCUAAGGUCAUUGUUUGAUGAGGAAUCCUCCAAGAUGGUCACUGUUGCCGUUGAGCUCUUCAAGUAUGGCAGAAUCAAAGGGUUAGCUUGGUUUGCUUAUUCCAAAUCCAACUUCUAUUCAGAGCUUCAACACACUGCACACUGGAACCACUCAACCCAAGCACCAAAACGACCACACAAUAACUCUCAACGGGCGUUUGCUUUGCACAAAGCUAAGAACUGAUCAAGCCACUGAUUCAGCAAUACUAAUAGGUACCACCCUCAAGCAAUGGCAACUGCAUCAACUAUCUACUAGUAGCAGAUUGCAUUAUUCUCUUCAAUCAAGGCCGUCUAAACUAAAAUCGCAGAACAUUUACAGCCCCGCCCAAAAGAUAAGUAAAUGAAGAA